CGGCCCGUAGCUCAGUGGUGAGAGCGCGUAUCUUAUAAAUACGAGGGCAUGGGUUCAAUUCCCAUCGGGCCUACCA
rnacentral:tRNA from 1 species